GAACCUAAAGACAUGAAAAGUUGGAAGGUAGAAACAAAGGCUUACUUCGAUUAUCUUGUCACUGUUAUUUUAGAGAAUCAUAUAACCAUGCCAAACAUGAACGUUUUUAAUUACUGCAGUGUAUUUUAUCCCAAUGGACUGAAGCUAAAAGAACUAUAUGUUAUUUUUAAAGAACCAAAUUAUAAAACGUAAUUAUCCUGU